AGCAGCCGCGGUAAUUCCAGCUCCAAUAGCGUAUAUUAAAGUUGUUGCAGUUAAAAAGCUCGUAGUUGAAUUUCAGGCCUGGCUGGACGGUCCGCCCUUCGGGCGAGUACUGUCUGUGGUCGGGUCCUACCUUCUGGCGAAGCGUCAUGGCCUUAACCAGCCGUGGCGGGGAACCAGGACUUUUACUGUGAAAAAAUUAGAGUGUUCAAAGCAGGCAAUCGCUUGGAUACAUUAGCAUGGAAUAAUGGAAUAGGACGAUGGUUCUAUUUGUUGGUUUCUAGGACCGUUGUAAUGAUUAAUAGGGAUAGUUGGGGGCAUUAGUAUUCAAUUGUCAGAGGUGAAAUUCUUGGAUUUAUUGAAGACUAACUACUGCGAAAGCAUUUUGCCAAAGGAUGUUUUCAUUAAUCAAGAACGAAAGUUAGGGGAUCGAAGACGAUCAGAUACCGUCGUAGUCUUAACCAUAAACUAUGCCGACUAGGAAUCGGGCGAUGUUGACAAAAAUGACGCGCUCGGCACCUCA
rnacentral:rRNA from 1 species